ACUGUAUCCGUGCUGAGAUUUCGUCACACACCAGAUCACAAGGGCUGAUGAGACUCCCAAGAUAAGUG
rnacentral:pre_miRNA from 1 species